UUGUUCUGAUGGCCUUCGAGUGACUACAUAGCAGUGAAAGGGACGGUGGCAUGAAGCAGUUGAGUAGGGUAAGAUGAUUCAACAUGGAGUACAACUGUUGUUGAAUAUGACUUGUGUACUUGCUGGACAAUAGUGUAUGAACUUUUCCGAUGGAUAUAGC